rnacentral:rRNA from 11 species
CGUGCUAAUCUGCGAUAAGCGCCGGUAAGGUGAUAUGAACCGUUAUAACCGGCGAUACCCGAAUGGGGAAACCCAGUGUGAUUCGUCACACUAUCAUUAACUGAAUCCAUAGGUUAAUGAGGCGAACCGGGGGAACUGAAACAUCUAAGUACCCCGAGGAAAAGAAAUCAACCGAGAUUCCCCCAGUAGCGGCGAGCGAACGGGGAGGAGCCCAGAGCCUGAAUCAGCAUGUGUGUUAGUGGAAGCGUCUGGAAAGGCGCGCGAUACAGGGUGACAGCCCCGUACACAAAAGCGCAUGUGCUGUGAGCUCGAUGAGUAGGGCGGGACACGUGGUAUCCUGUCUGAAUAUGGGGGGACCAUCCUCCAAGGCUAAAUACUCCUGACUGACCGAUAGUGAACCAGUACCGUGAGGGAAAGGCGAAAAGAACCCCGGCGAGGGGAGUGAAAAAGAACCUGAAACCGU